AGUAUGGACCAGAGCCUGCAUGAAGCCACCAGCCUCUCUCCAACACAGGUCUGUGUUAGGCCAAGCUCUGUGCUCAGCCCUUCCAGGCAUGUAUGCAUAUGAAUGUGUUUGGUUUUGUGAGCAUGUGUAUUUUCUUUUCUAAAAUGGAUCAUAUGGUAUAUUCUUUUUAAAAUUAUUUCAUUUUUUCCUGUACCCCAGAUUCUUAGGUAAUGGCCUGACUUAUUCCAGGAAAACACAUAAUAGGCUCUAAGUGAUCCCCAUUUCCUCCACUGGAUCCCCACGACCCAUGCUUUGAUUAAUCCUGUUCAAAAUUUCCCUGUGCUUGGGGUGGGGACAGACUUGCAUAUUUAAUAGUAAUCUUAUCUUGGUUUCCUCAGCCCAUAAAACAAGGAAGCUGGGUUAGAUCCUCUAUAAAUAUCUUUUCAGCACUGAAUUUCUCUGAUUCUGGUACACCUAAUACCCAAAUGUGAUUUUUAAAAACCAUACAGUUUUUUUUUCUUUUAACAACUUAAAGAUAUAAUGGGUAUAAUGUGUCUCGUCAGCAUUUCCCAUGGUGACAAGAGUGCUCGGGGUUCAUUUUACACUUCUGAUUUUCCAAUAAAGUGUUAGAUAACACUUCCAAUUGACUAAAAAAUGUGGUAACCUAAACAAAAGAGUAACAGUGUAUGGGAGACAGUAUGUUUUCACUGAAGUCACAAAAUGUCUUUUCAUAAAGUCCACAGAAGGGACUACAGUAAUGUUCAUGAGAAACAGAUUUUUUUCCCCAGUAUGAGAUUUGGAUUAUAACAUGAAUUCCCUGGAAUCAAAUUAUUUUCUUUUCAGGAAUCUAAAUUUCAGUUUACGAAGAUUCUCUACUUUGAUCAUAGCCAAUGACUAGUACCACCUACCUACAGCAAACAAGCUAAAUGCUCUUAAUCAAAGGUGGCAUUCAAAUGGAAAUCAACUUCUAGCAUCUCUGUAAUGGAAUUAUUGCAAAUUCUCUACCAAAAGAACUAAAUAAGCACAUGCUCUGCAACCAUCUUUUUGUGACUGAACAGUAUGAAUUGAUGGUGGUCAAUGAUCGAGUCUUUCUGAAUGUUGCUUGUUGCUCAGGUCCAGUGCAUGCUGACACUGAUGCACUGAUAUAUCCUAGAUACCUACAGGGCAGAGGAACAUGAAAUGACUGGCAUUAAAAAUAUGCCAUGGUAUGACCACAAGGUUGCAGAGGAAGAAGAGAAUGGAUAUUGAAAGAUAGCCUAGAGUCUAUCCAAGUCUUUUAUAUGUCAUUAAAUACAUUCCUCAGAAUUUCUCUAAGCAGUAUUUAUUAUUACUCUAGUUUUAUAGCAAAUAAAAAAAAAUUUGGAGAGACUAAGUAACGGUCCCAUAUUUACAUGCUAAUGACAAGCGGUGUUAGCAUUUGAAUUCAGAUCUAUCAGGCACAAAGUCCAUGCUCUCCUGCAAACUACCCAUACUUUAAUAAUUUAUAUGUUUUGUGCAUGAUGUCCCCAUUCCUGUAAGUCAGUGGGCUCAUUCCCCAUUACCUUUCAGAUGAUUAGUGCUAUUAAAUAUCUCGGAGUUACUGGGUAAGGAACUCAGCAUAUAUUGAUAAAGUGAAGCACCUUGAUGGAUUUUACAACAUUGGUGAACAGGAGCAAGGAAUUUUCUUUUUUUCCCCCACCCCUGGGAAGCAGGUUAUGGUAGCAUGCUCCCAUUCUCUCUUGACUAAAGCAGAAACAAAUUCUUAAAGUGAAUGUGGAGUUACCCCAACUCAAUUUCCAAUGGAUUGAGGAAGCAUAUAUUUUGUUCCUGCUCUUUCUGGAAGAUCUAAUACAAAAAACCUGAAGGAAGUAAAAAUGCAUCCUGAGAAUGAGGAUUUCUUUUUCUAGUUACAAUUAGUGAAGGUCUUACUUGAAAUAAAUGCACAAUUUGAGGCAGAUACACACUCAGGGACUGGCAACUUUGUAUGGCACAUUCACAUAAUGUUUAACGUGGGCUGCUACUUAGGUCUUCCUGGAAAUGUUGUCAUCCUUUUUGAUCACACUAAUAAUACACUAUGAAGCGUUGCUCUGUGGGAUGUAGUUAAAGCUUAUUUGAGCUUCGGCAACCACUGGCACUUUUCCUGGGGGAAAAUAUCAGAACAUUUUUAUUUUUAUCUCAAUCACUCCAGAAAACUUCAUGGAGAAUAGCCUCUGUCAGGGAUAUAGGGC
rnacentral:lncRNA from 1 species